UGGGGAAUAUUGGACAAUGGGCGCAAGCCUGAUCCAGCAAUGCCGCGUGUGUGAAGAAGGCCUUAGGGUUGUAAAGCACUUUCAGGGGGGAGGCGUUACCCUCAGAAGAAGCACCGGCUAACUCUGUGCCAGCAGCCGCGGUAAUACAGAGGGUGCGAGCGUUAAUCGGAAUGACUGGGCGUAAAGCGCGCGUAGGCGGUUAUAUAAGUUGGGUGUGAAAUCCCUGGGCUCAACCUAGGAAUUGCAUUCAAAACUGUAUGACUUGAGUGAAGUAGAGGUGAGUGGAAUUUCCGGAGUAGCGGUGAAAUGCGUAGAUACCGGAAGGAACACCAGUGGCGAAGGCGACUCACGUGGGC
rnacentral:rRNA from 1 species